ensembl:lncRNA LINC00326 long intergenic non-protein coding RNA 326
GAGAACUUCCUCCUGCUGGGGACAGGACAGAUGAGGCAGAAGGGGAGGUUAGGGAGGUUUGAAGAGUGAGAAGAACUUCUGCAGUGGCUGACUUGGAAGAUGAAGGAGGUUAUGAACCAGGGAAUGGGGGCAGCCUCUAGAGGCUGAGAACCUGCUGACACCUACCCACAACCGCUAAGGAAAUGAAGACUUUAAUUCCACAACUGCAUGCAACUAAACUCAGCCAACAACCUGAAUAAGUCGGAAAAAGGCUUCUCCAGAGCCUCCAGAUAAGAGGCCAGGCUGGCGACACCUUGAUUUUGACCUUGUGAGACCUAGAGCAGAGAAACUAGCCAAGAUCACUCAGACUUCUGAUCUACAGAACUGUGAGACCGUAAAUUUAUGUUGUAUUAAGCCACUAAUUGCGUGGGAAUUUGUUACAGGAGCAAUAGAAAAUGAAUACACCUUCUGAUGUAGUUUAAUCAGUUGACAUUAGGGGUGACACCAAGAUGUGCUACACUGAACCCAACUUCUGCAUGUUUAAGACAAGAAUGUGCAUCUUUAUUUUUCCUGAAUAUUUCUAUUGUCUAAAUACCUUAGUAAAGUUUACUGCUUCUACGGAUGGCCUAAAAGUUCUGGCAAUGAAAGAAACGCAAGGUCAAAAAUUUACAUCAGGUAUCUGAAUGUGUAGCAUAUACAACUGAGUGUUGAAAGAAGACAAAAUCGUUUUCAUCACGAAGAAUAUGUGCUCAGUAAGAAUCAGAAUGUUCAAUUGUGUGAAGGUGGGAGAUGGGAAGAUUGGUAUUAUGGCCUGGAUCCAGAAAUCAGUCUUCCACUAUAGGAAAUGGGAAUUUAAAGAUGAUCAGAAGACAGUUGGGAGCAGAGUGAGAAUAAGAACCCUCAACUGCUGUCUCACCUUUCAGAUCACGAAGAAGUUUUUUACAAUGAGCAGAACACUCAACCUGAAAGCAGAAUGGAUUGAGUCACUGCAGCGUGGCAGUGGAAUGGUGUUUGAUGUUGGCAAAGGAAACAUGUACUUCUAGACUGGACAGUUUUCCCUUAGUUUACAGUUUCCAAAUAGAGACAUCACUUUGAAAUAACAUGGAGAACAUACAUGGAUGUACUGAACGAAGAAUAAAGUCUGUGUUGCAGUCCUGUCUCCAUUGACUUUUACAAAUAUGGCUUUGGAUGAAUCACCUAAGUUUUAUUUUUGAGAAUUUACGCUUACCAUGUAUAAAAUGAUAUUGCUAAUAUGUUUGCUGCCUACCCCAUUGGGUUUUGUGAGGAAUAAAUGAUAAUGCUAAGAAAAAGGCAUUGAGAAUUAUAACUCAUUAUUCAAAUGCAAGUUAUUUAUGUGGUUAUUGUCAUUAUUAUUAAUACUUUCACUCAGCUAAAACCUUAGAACCAAAAACAUCUGAGAACUUGCUUACUAUUAAUAACUGUCUUAUUUGAUUCAGGGACUCAAGAAAGUAUCAGCUCACAUGACUGAGUUUCAUCAAUUCCAAGUUGUACAUUGAGAAUCACGAUAAAGAUCGGGAAUAUGAGACUUUAAGCAUAAUUCUUUUUCAUCACCAUCUGGCUAUUUCUACUUCUCCAGUCCUAACUUCUAACCUGAUCUUAGUCACCAGGGCUAAAUUGCAAAGUAGAAAAUUUCAAGGAAGGUUUCUUUGGGUUCCAUACUCUGCUUUUAUGCCUUCUACAUAAAGAAAGGGAAACAGAAAAAAAAAAAAAAAAAAAAAAAAAAGAGUGGACCUCACAUUCAUACACAACUUCCUCCCAACAAUUUCCUUAGUAGAGCCUGGGAGGUCCUAACUGAACCAACCCUGCUCCCUCCACUGGCUCUGCGCCACCUGAUUACCUCCAUGCCAUGCUCCCUUGUAUCUCAAUACUGCUCAUAGGUCACCUCAUCAGAGACACCUUCCCUGAUUACAGCAUACGAAAUUAGAAAACAAACCUGAUCUCAUUCCAUUGUCCUUGCUCUGCUUCACAACUCUCAAUCACCAGCAGAUGUAGAAUAUACUUAUUUGUUUCUUAUCUGUCCCCUCUCCUAUCCAUGUGAGCACCACAAGAAUCAGACUUGGUUUUCCAUUGUAACCCCUGAGCCUGCCACAUGGAAAGUAUUCAAUAAAUCAUUGUUGAACAAA